rnacentral:lncRNA from 1 species
UGUUAUUAAGGUAUGUUUACCAUCUUUUUGUUUUUCUAUUUUUUGUUUAUUUUUCUUUGUUGGAGAUUAAGUUAGGUUUAAUGAUAUUUUUUAACAGUACAUUAUAAUCUAAGCGUAUCCCAAAAUUCACAUUUAACACUUUUCAAUAGAACGUCUUUAGGUUUUAUUUAUUUUUUUCACCUAAUUUCACUCGUCAUUUUUUCCAAAGCCCAUUAAUCUGACCCACAUUUGAUUAG